UAUGAUCUAUCCACACCACUAGUCUAGAAAACGUGAAGAAGACAACUAUCUGGCAAAUUGUAAACAAUCAUGCAUACAUAUACACCCCCUUGUUCUUUCUUCUUCUUCUUUUCUGUUCUUUCUUUCUUCUAAAACUUUUCUUUAUUCUCAAAUUCCUAGUUCACACCCCCCCACCCACCUGACACAGUACUCUCAAUAUUACUGCAACAUUUCAGCGGCUGACAUGGUAACAGACAGACACACACCAAUGAUCUGUGUGUGUGAGUGUAUUAGUGGAUGUGUAUUACUAUUACUACUCUCGUGAAUCUUUUUUUGUUUUUUUCUGUUCAAAAACACUUAUUUAUUACCACCACCUUAUUCCCUUGUUCAUGUUACGUGCAUAUUUAUAGGAAUUCUAUUUUUUUUAUGCAACAAAACAAAUUAACACUUCUCUGUUCUCUCUUGUUCCAA
rnacentral:lncRNA from 1 species